rnacentral:rRNA from 1 species
GGCGAGUGGCGAACGGGUGAGUAAUAUAUCGGAACGUACCCUUGGGUGGGGGAUAACGUAGCGAAAGUUACGCUAAUACCGCAUACGAUCUACGGAUGAAAGUGGGGGCUCCGCAAGGACCUCAUGCUCAUGGAGCGGCCGAUAUCUGAUUAGCUAGUUGGUAGGGUAAAAGCCUACCAAGGCAUCGAUUAGUAGCUGGUCUGAGAGGACGACCAGCCACACUGGAACUGAGACACGGUCCAGACUCCUACGGGAGGCAGCAGUGGGGAAUUUUGGACAAUGGGCGAAAGCCUGAUCCAGCAAUGCCGCGUGAGUGAAGAAGGCCUUCGGGUUGUAAAGCUCUUUUGUCAGGGAAGAAACGGUUGUUCCUAAUACGGAUGGCUAAUGACGGUACCUGAAGAAUAAGCACCGGCUAACUACGUGCCAGCAGCCGCGGUAAUACGUAGGGUGCAAGCGUUAAUCGGAAUUACUGGGCGUAAAGCGUGCGCAGGCGGUUAUGUAAGACAGAUGUGAAAUGCCCGGGCUUAACCUGGGAACUGCAUUUGUGA